rnacentral:rRNA from 1 species
AUGGAAACACUGAAGCGAGGUUUCAUACUUAUAAUUUGUACUCCCUCCGUCCCAAAAUUCAUGUCGCAGUGGUCAUUUUGCAAUUUACUCCUCAGCUUUUUCCCGACCAAACCCGAAGUCCCUCUGUGUAGUCGCUCUCUUCCUCCUUCUCCGACUGGCCGGCGCUGCCUGCGCCGCUCCCCUCCGCGCAGCUCCACGCCGCUUGCGCCUCCUCUCCCUCCCUCGCGGUUCCUCUCCCUCCCCAGCACAGGCGCCCUCUCCCUUGUGUGCGUCACCGGCGCUCUCUUCCUCUCGCAUGUCCCUCCGCAUUGGUGA